UACGGGGGGAGCAAGCGUUGUUCGGAUUUACUGGGCGUAAAGGGCGCGUAGGCGGCACGGCAAGUCAGGAGUGAAAGCCCUGGGCUCAACCCGGGAACUGCUUUUGAAACUGCCGAGCUAGAGUGCGGAAGGGGCAACUGGAAUUCCCAGUGUAGCGGUGAAAUGCGUAGAUAUCAAGAGGAACACCUGAGGUGAAGACGGGUUGCUGGGCCAACACUGACGCUGAGGCGCGAAAGCCAGGGGAGCAAACGGG
rnacentral:rRNA from 1 species